rnacentral:rRNA from 1 species
UCAUAUGCUUGUCUCAAAGACUAAGCCAUGCAUGUGCCAGUACGAGCGAGUACACAGUGAAACUGCGAAUGGCUCAUUAAAUCAGUUGUGGUUUAUUAGAUCGUUGCCCCCCACUAGUUGAAUAACUGUGGAAAAUCCAGAGCUAAUGCAUGCAGCAAUGCCUCGAUCCCUUCACUGGGAGAGGGGCGCAGUUAUUAGACCAAGACCAACCGCGGUGUGGCCUGCCCGCCCCCCUCGUGGGGGUGUGGCUGUGCCCCCGUGUCGCUCUGUGGUGACUCUGGAUAACCUCGGGCUGAUCGCACGGUUGCCCCCCGGGCACCGGCGACGUAUCUUUCAAAUGUCUGCCCUAUCAAAUGUCGAAGGGAGGUGCCUUGCCUCCCUUGUUGGCAACGGGUGACGGGGAAUCAGGGUUCGGUUCCGGAGAGGGAGCAUGAGAGUCGGCUACCACGUCCAAGGAAGGCAGCAGGCGCGCAAAUUACCCACUCCUGACACGGGGAGGUAGUGACGAAAACUAACGGUGCGGGACUCUGUUGAGGCUCCGCAACCGGAAUGAGUACACUUUAAAUCCUUGUAUCGAGGAUCCAUUGGAGGGCAAGUCUGGUGCCAGCAGCCGCGGUAAUUCCAGCUCCAAUAGCGUAUAUUAAAGUUGUUGCAGUUAA